AGAGUUUGAUCAUGGCUCAGAUUGAACGCUGGCGGCAGGCCUAACACAUGCAAGUCGAACGGUAACAGGAAGAAGCUUGCUUCUUUGCUGACGAGUGGCGGACGGGUGAGUAAUGUCUGGGAAACUGCCUGAUGGAGGGGGAUAACUACUGGAAACGGUAGCUAAUACCGCAUAACGUCGCAAGACCAAAGAGGGGGACCUUCGGGCCUCUUGCCAUCGGAUGUGCCCAGAUGGGAUUAGCUAGUAGGUGGGGUAACGGCUCACCUAGGCGACGAUCCCUAGCUGGUCUGAGAGGAUGACCAGCCACACUGGAACUGAGACACGGUCCAGACUCCUACGGGAGGCAGCAGUGGGGAAUAUUGCACAAUGGGCGCAAGCCUGAUGCAGCCAUGCCGCGUGUAUGAAGAAGGCCUUCGGGUUGUAAAGUACUUUCAGCGGGGAGGAAGGGAGUAAAGUUAAUACCUUUGCUCAUUGACGUUACCCGCAGAAGAAGCACCGGCUAACUCCGUGCCAGCAGCCGCGGUAAUACGGAGGGUGCAAGCGUCAAUCGGAAUUACUGGGCGUAAAGCGCACGCAGGCGGUUUGUUAAGUCAGAUGUGAAAUCCCCGGGCUCAACCUGGGAACUGCAUCUGAUACUGGCAAGCUUGAGUCUCGUAGAGGGGGGUAGAAUUCCAGGUGUAGCGGUGAAAUGCGUAGAGAUCUGGAGGAAUACCGGUGGCGAAGGCGGCCCCCUGGACGAAGACUGACGCUCAGGUGCGAAAGCGUGGGGAGCAAACAGGAUUAGAUACCCUGGUAGUCCACGCCGUAAACGAUGUCGACUUGGAGGUUGUGCCCUUGAGGCGUGGCUUCCGGAGCUAACGCGUUAAGUCGACCGCCUGGGGAGUACGGCCGCAAGGUUAAAACUCAAAUGAAUUGACGGGGGCCCGCACAAGCGGUGGAGCAUGUGGUUUAAUUCGAUGCAACGCGAAGAACCUUACCUGGUCUUGACAUCCACGGAAGUUUUCAGAGAUGAGAAUGUGCCUUCGGGAACCGUGAGACAGGUGCUGCAUGGCUGUCGUCAGCUCGUGUUGUGAAAUGUUGGGUUAAGUCCCGCAACGAGCGCAACCCUUAUCCUUUGUUGCCAGCGGUCCGGCCGGGAACUCAAAGGAGACUGCCAGUGAUAAACUGGAGGAAGGUGGGGAUGACGUCAAGUCAUCAUGGCCCUUACGACCAGGGCUACACACGUGCUACAAUGGCGCAUACAAAGAGAAGCGACCUCGCGAGAGCAAGCGGACCUCAUAAAGUGCGUCGUAGUCCGGAUUGGAGUCUGCAACUCGACUCCAUGAAGUCGGAAUCGCUAGUAAUCGUGGAUCAGAAUGCCACGGUGAAUACGUUCCCGGGCCUUGUACACACCGCCCGUCACACCAUGGGAGUGGGUUGCAAAAGAAGUAGGUAGCUUAACCUUCGGGAGGGCGCUUACCACUUUGUGAUUCAUGACUGGGGUGAAGUCGAAACAAGGUAACCGUAGGGGAACCUGCGGUUG
rnacentral:rRNA from 1 species